rnacentral:rRNA from 1 species
GACGAACGCUGGCGGCGUGCUUAACACAUGCCAGUCGAACGCUGAAGCUCAGCUUUUGUUGGGUGGAUGAGUGGCGAACGGGUGAGUAACACGUGAGUAACCUGCCCCCUUCUUUGGGAUAACGCCCGGAAACGGGUGCUAAUACUGGAUAUUCACUGGUCUUCGCAUGGGGGUUGGUGGAAAGGGUUUUUCUGGUGGGGAUGGGCUCGCGGCCUAUCAGCUUGUUGGUGGGGUGAUGGCCUACCAAGGCUUUGACGGGUAGCCGGCCUGAGAGGGUGACCGGUCACAUUGGGACUGAGAUACGGCCCAGACUCCUACGGGAGGCAGCAGUGGGGAAUAUUGCACAAUGGGCGCAAGCCUGAUGCAGCGACGCCGCGUGAGGGAUGGAGGCCUUCGGGUUGUGAACCUCUUUCGCUCAUGGUCAAGCCGCAACAAUGGUUGUGGUGAGGGUAGUGGGUAAAGAAGCGCCGGCUAACUACGUG